rnacentral:rRNA from 1 species
UACGAAGGGGGCUAGCGUUGUUCGGAAUUACUGGGCGUAAAGCGCGCGCAGGCGGUCCUUUAAGUCAGGGGUGAAAGCCCAGAGCUCAACUCUGGAACUGCCUUUGAAACUAGAGGACUUGGGUACGGGAGAGGUGAGUGGAAUUCCGAGUGUAGAGGUGAAAUUCGUAGAUAUUCGGAAGAACACCAGUGGCGAAGGCG